UCCCUGGUGGCUCAGACAGUAAAGAAUCUGCCUGCAAUGCAGGAGACCUGGGUUCAAUUCCUGGGUUGGGAA
rfam:Ovis aries breed Texel chromosome 13, whole genome shotgun sequence.